UGAUGCAGAAGCUCAGGUUUCCUUCCACGGGGUCAGAAGAGCAAGGAGGGCUGCACGGACCAGCUGAUGCCUGUGUUGGCCAGACUCUCCCCAUCUGGCAGAAGUGACUCAUUGGUGGCAUGACCCAGGCGCUCUCUGAGGCUUGUUGAACUCAGAGGGAGUUUGACUUCAGAUCCUCUACUUCCUCGAAGAUUUGCCUUUAGUCCUUGCCUUACCCCAGCCCUCAUCUGCAUUUGCUCACCAGCCUGGGCUGAAGUGGUGUUCCCCGGCUGCCUUCCCGGUGGCUCCCUUGUUUUAGGGCGUGGGGAGCUGCCAUCGCAGAGCUUGAGCUGCUGCCUCCACCUGGGGCUCAUUACGUGCUGCUUCCUCUCCAGCUGCCAGGGGCCUGGACAGAGAGCAGGGAAAUUGCACGCAAGGCACUUGUAAAACCCUCAGCCCUGUCUGCCACUGGAGGAAGAGCUGGCUGAGCCUCCCUCCCUGCAGGACUGGCUUCCUGCCCUAGGAAAUCCCCUGCUGUAAGGCAGCCCAGGAGAUCCACCUUGGGGAUCUCAAACGGUCAGUGCUGGCUGGGUACAGAAUGAGAGCCAUGGGUUUUCAGAAAACCCUAAUAAAACCUUUUGAUUAUACAUAAGAAAAAAAAAAAAAAAAAGAAAAGUGAUCCUUCCUGCUUCCCAGCUCUGUGGUUUGCCUAAACUUACUUCCCUGGAAUACACUGGAGUUUGAUCUUUGAGAAAUGAUAUCUAAAAAGCCCACAUGUCAAAACUUAACUGUUCCAGCGGUAGGAUCAUAAUCUGCCUUUGAUCCUGUGAAUUGCUGAACCACAACUCUAUUCGUUGCCCAAGGACUGCAGGAAAUGUACACAGGGUUAUGCAAAUCUCUAGGAGAGGGAAUGUUUUGCAGGGAGGGGGGAAGAUGGCUCAUGCUGCCCCUGUCAGUCUCUGGAUUGCAGCUGAGUAGUUUGGCAGUCCCUGUGCUCUCCUGUGUGGCCCCGCUGCCAGUUCCCACGGCUCCUACCCCUCUCUGCUCACCGUCCAGUUGUGCAAGUCUGCAGCGGCCGGCUUUUUUCAGCUCUCUCCCUGCGUGUGCCGGUGGCAUUUACAGGCAGAGUCUGCAAGCUCGGUCCUUCGUCUGCAUUUUUCUCCAAGCCACCACUGCAAAGCAUUUCUGGAUUCACUUGAAGACUGACACAUGGACAUGUUUCCAUUGAAGUUGCUACAGGUGAUAGGAGCUUUCUUCAGAAGACCGACAAAAGGACUGGAGCACA
ensembl:lncRNA